GAUGCAGCAGGAUUUUGGCCUUCGCGUGCCGGCGGCUACCUUCUUCCAUCCUCACUGGUCGUCACCAUGAGAUGACGGUGGCACGGCCUCCGCAACUCCGUUGUAGGCUGCUUCUUCAGGUAUUACUUCUCUCUUUCCCUCCGCUCUCGUGAUUGCUCUCAAUGUUGUGCUGCGAUGACAGGCACUGAUGGUAAUAUAUGCCUGCUAAAUCAUAUGAAUGGAGAUGCAAUCGUGCAUUAUUAUGUGAUGACUGAUAAUCAAUUAUACAUUUUCAGAUGAUGUCCUCAAAAUUAAAUCGAUAAUGUACAUCUGAGAGUAAAUUCCUCAUCUUACUAUCAUGCUUCAUAAUAACAAAUGUCAACUUCAAUUUGACCCUCUUCACUCUAAAUCUGUGAUAAUGUGUCUGAGAGUAAGGUGUGCAUGUUGACUUUAAAGAACAGCUGCUAUGACUUGAUCUAGGCAUAAUAAUAUAUUUAAAGCUAGCUCGAUGAUGGCAUGUAGACUUAGAGCAAUUUCAUUUGUCUAUUUUGCUUCGCAGUGUUCCAAUAUUUUCCAAAAAAAAAAAAAGUGCUAACCACGUACCUGUGUGCCCACUGUCAAAAUUUUGUAGCUCCUACAAAGGCUCCCUUAGCACUGCAUGUGUGUAUGAAUUGAACUUUCUGCUUUUUUACUAAUUAUGGAGCGCAAUUAAGUUAGUGCAAACAAAAAUGUUAAUUAAAGAAACCACGAUCUGCCUUCACUGAAGCAUUCACAUGAAUGAUCUGCCAUCAAAAUUCCAUCAUAGCUGAUGAACGAAUCACUUAAUCUGCCUUAAUUGGUAAAGUUAAUCCGGUUCACAAUUUCUCAUUCUCGCUACUGAUCAAUAUCUUUUAAUCGCUAACUUGCAUGAUCACCAAUAAGAAUUGCAGUCUGAAUAGUCCUUUACGAAUACAUUAAUUCCUGAACCGACAAGUUGUAUGCAAGAAUUCCACCUUUCAUGUUUCCAGGAGCCCCAUGGCAACUAAAUCAGUAAGCUGACAGGUACCUCAUUAUCUGCCACUGUUUUCCUCAUAUGAUGGUUAGUCAUGAUUUCGGUAUUGAAAAGGGUUCCUAAUGAUCUUUUAAUCGCUAACUUGCAUGAUCACCAAUAAGAAUUGCAGUCUGAAUAGUCCUUUACGAAUACAUUAAUUCCUGAACCGACAAGUUGUAUGCAAGAAUUCCACCUUUCAUGUUUCCAGGAGCCCCAUGGCAACUAAAUCAGUAAGCUGACAGGUACCUCAUUAUCUGCCACUGUUUUCCUCAUAUGAUGAUUAGUCAUGAUUUCGGUAUUGAAAAGGGUUCCUAAUGAUGUAAUUUGCCAAGACAGUUUGCUAAGACAGUUUGAAAAGGGUGCCUAAUGUCAUAUGCUUCUGAUGUCAGGCCAGUUUCAUAGUUUGUUUUUUAGUAUUAGGUAUAUUACCUCUGCCAUAUUUAGGUACAGUUAUGUGUUCAAAAGUUCUUCAGUAUUGCUAUUUAACAUGCACAUAAAAAUUUCUGCCAUUUAACACACCUUUUCUUUUUCAACACAUAUAUUUUGCACCACGGAGAAAAAUGAAGAUAUAUUUGCGAAGAGCAAAGAGCUGAAUGUGGAUGAAGAUUGAGGUCAUCUUAGCUGGUAGAAUCAAUCGGGACACUAAGCUGAGGAAGAGAGAGUUUGGAGCGUCAGCAUUGUUCACCCUCAUCACCAUUGCCAUGAGUCUUUUUGAAUGACUAUUAAAAACUGCUAGGCUCUUUGUAUUUAGGAUAUACAUGCAAUCUGCUGGAGCCUAAAAAAAUGGCCUCACAAUUAACAUCAAAUACAUCUUUUUAGUUAACAGGUCAGUAUGUGAUACUUGAAAGCGCUGCUACUUUAUUUUGCUUCGGAUUAGUCAGUGCCUUUUGUUAGAUUGCAAAAUCAAGGUACCAGCAAGAUAUUUACUUGCUACAAUUGGUCGAUUUGCUAAUCUUAUACUUCAUCUAGCUUCAUUAGCAAAGCUGUACACUAGGAUCAGGAUAUAAAUCAUGUUACAGUGCGAAAGAUACGAUGCUAUGCCACUUUUUGGGGAGUUUCUCUCUUCA